rnacentral:rRNA from 1 species
CACCGCGGUUAUACGAGCGACUCGAGUUGACAACGCUCGGCGUAAAGCGUGGUUAAGGAAAAAGCCCAUAGAGCCAAACCACUACUAAGCCGUCAUACGUACUCGAAGAAGUGAAGCCCCACCACGAAAGUAGCUCUAACUCCCCCGACCCCACGAAAGCCAUUAAA